GACGAACGCUGGCGGCGUGCUUAACACAUGCAAGUCGAACGGAAAGGCCCUGCUUUUGUGGGGUGCUCGAGUGGCGAACGGGUGAGUAACACGUGAGUAACCUGCCCUUGACUUUGGGAUAACUUCAGGAAACUGGGGCUAAUACCGGAUAGGAGCUCCUGCUGCAUGGUGGGGGUUGGAAAGUUUCGGCGGUUGGGGUGGGUUCGGGGGUUUUCAGGUUGUUGGUGGGGUAGUGGCUUACCAAGGCUUUGACGGGUAGCCGGCCUGAGAGGGUGACCGGCCACAUUGGGACUGAGAUACGGCCCAGACUCCUACGGGAGGCAGCAGUGGGGAAUAUUGCACAAUGGGCGGAAGCCUGAUGCAGCAACGCCGCGUGCGGGAUGACGGCCUUCGGGUUGUAAACCGCUUUCGCCUGUGACGAAGCGUGAGUGACGGUAAUGGGUAAAGAAGCACCGGCUAACUACGUG
rnacentral:rRNA from 1 species